GCCUGAAAUCUGUAACUGGCUUAAAAGCUCUGUCAGCUGGAAAGGAACCUGUCAGUGUGAUAAUGGAAAAGAAGAAGAUACAUCAGAGAGACGUAAAAAUGCUACAGAGGGUGAAAAUACCAAGGAUAGAGCAAGUCUGACAAACUCACGUUGAAUAACAAGAUCUUCAUGGCCUGGAUCCCUGAAAGACUGUGUGGAACAGAGCCCCUUGACAACCUGAAACCC
rnacentral:lncRNA from 1 species